UACGGAGGGUGCGAGCGUUAUCCGGAUUUACUGGGUUUAAAGGGUGCGUAGGCGGGUAGGUAAGUCAGUGGUGAAAUCUCCGAGCUUAACUUGGAAACUGCCAUUGAUACUAUUUAUCUUGAAUGUUGUGGAGGUAAAUGGAAUAUGUCAUGUAGCGGUGAAAUGCUUAGAUAUGACAUGGAACACCAAUUGCGAAGGCAGUUUGCUAUACAACUAUUGACGCUGAGGCACUAAAGCGUGGGGAUCAAACAGG
rnacentral:rRNA from 1 species